GGGCCUGUAGCUCAUCUGGUAGAGCGCUACGUUCGCAAUGUAGAGGUAAGGGGUUCGAGUCCCCUCAGGUCCA
rnacentral:tRNA from 1 species